rnacentral:rRNA from 1 species
ACGCACGCUGGCGGCGUGCUUAACACAUGCAAGUCGAACGGAAAGGCCCUGCUUUUGUGGGGUGCUCGAGUGGCGAACGGGUGAGUAACACGUGAGUAACCUGCCCUUGACUUUGGGAUAACUUCAGGAAACUGGGGCUAAUACCGGAUAGGAGCUCCUGCUGCAUGGUGGGGGUUGGAAAGUUUCGGCGGUUGGGGAUGGACUCGCGGCUUAUCAGCUUGUUGGUGGGGUAGUGGCUUACCAAGGCUUUGACGGGUAGCCGGCCUGAGAGGGUGACCGGCAAAAUGGGGACUGAGAUAGGGCCCAGACGCCUACGGGAGGAAGCAGUGGGGAAUAUUGCACAAUGGGCGGAAGCCUGAUGCAGCAACGCCGCGUGCGGGAGGACGGCCUUCGGGUUGUAAACCGCUUUCGCCUGUGACGAAGCGUGAGUGACGGUAAUGGGUAAAGAAGCACCGGCUAACUACGUG